GUCUGGAUAGCUCAGCUGGUUAGAGCGCGGUGCUGACAAGGCCGAGGUUGCAGGAUUGAUCCCCGUAUGGGACA